rnacentral:rRNA from 1 species
AUUGAACGCUGGCGGAAUGCUUUACACAUGCAAGUCGAACGGCAGCACGGGGGCAACCCUGGUGGCGAGUGGCGAACGGGUGAGUAAUACAUCGGAACGUGCCCAUGUCGUGGGGGAUAACGUAGCGAAAGCUACGCUAAUACCGCAUACGAUCUACGGAUGAAAGCGGGGGAUCGCAAGACCUCGCGCGAUUGGAGCGGCCGAUGGCAGAUUAGGUAGUUGGUGGGGUAAAGGCUCACCAAGCCUGCGAUCUGUAGCUGGUCUGAGAGGACGACCAGCCACACUGGGACUGAGACACGGCCCAGACUCCUACGGGAGGCAGCAGUGGGGAAUUUUGGACAAUGGGCGCAAGCCUGAUCCAGCCAUUCCGCGUGCAGGAUGAAGGCCCUCGGGUUGUAAACUGCUUUUGUACGGAACGAAACGGCCUUUUCUAAUACAAGAGGCUAAUGACGGUACCGUAAGAAUAAGCACCGGCUAACUACGUGCCAGCCGCCGCCGUAACAC